rfam:Berkelbacteria bacterium GW2011_GWA1_39_10 TT15_C0001, whole genome shotgun sequence.
GAAUGGCAUAACGGUCUGAAAACUGUCUCUGGGAAAGGCUCGGUGAAAUUACAAUGCCGGUAAAGAUGCCGGUUACCCGCAGCAAGACGGAAAGACCCCGUGAAGCUUUACUAUAGUUUGAUAUUGAAUCAAAAUUUUGAUUGUAUAGAGUAGGUGGGAGCGCAAGCAAAAGUGUAACACCACCCUGUUAAGGUUUUGAUUCUAACCAUCGUUAAUUCGAAGGGACAGUGUCAGAUGGGUAGUUUAACUGGGGCGGUUGACUCCUAAAUUGUAACGGAGUCGCUCAAAGGUUGGCUUGGCCCGGAUGGAAAUCGGGCUGAAAGUGCAAACGCAUAAGCCAGCUUGACUGCAAGACUUACAAGUCGCGCAGAUGCGAAAGCAGGAGUUAGUGAUCCUCUGGCACAGAGUGAUGUGGCCAGAGCUCAACGGAUAAAAGCUACUCCGGGGAUAACAGGCUGAUCGCGCCCAAUAGUCCACAUAGACGGCGCGGUUUGGCACCUCGAUGUUACAAGUAAUUGUAUAAUAAAUAUGGCUAAUAACGGUGGAACCCUACUUAGGUUUACCGAACACUAAGAGGGUAAUACCGUGGGAAGAAAGAUUAAUUAUGCCAGAAGAAGUAAAAGCCUAUAUUGCAGGUUUUUUAGACGGAGAUGGAUGUUUGAUGGCACAGUUGGUAAAAAGAGAAGAAAACAAAUUUGGUUUUCAAAUUAGGUUAAGCUUGGUUUUUUACCAGCAUGUGCAAAACAUUAAACACCUUGAAUGGUUAAAAUCUCUUUUAAAAGAUGGUUACAUUCGGAAAAGAAAUGAUAACAUGGCUGAAUAUACGAUUGUAGGUAUUAAGCCAGUAAUCAAAGUGAUAGAUGAGAUUUUACCUUAUCUUCGCCUAAAAAAGAAACAAGCACAAAAUUUAUUAUUGUUUAAAGAAAUGGCUUCAAAACCAUCUAAGGAACAAUUUAUUAAAUUUUGUAAGCUUGUGGAUAAUACUGCAAAGUAUAAUUUUUCAAAGAAACGCAAGAUAUUCACACCACAAGUGUUAAGGUAUCUGGAUGAUAAUAAUCUUUCCCCGUAACGACUGAUAGCUGAUUUAGGCAAUCAGCUUGAGUCUCUCCGACAUGAUGUCUGAGGGACAUACGCCAACGCCUUGUUAUUGGUGAAUAACAAGGAUGAAGAUAUAGUCUGCGCCAUUAGUAAUAAUGGAACAAAAGCGAAGACAGUUCGGUCCUAAUCUGCUGUGGGCGUCGAAGUUUGAAGGAAUCUGCUCCUAGUAGGCGCAAGAGCGCCAUGCUACUUUUCCGAGUAAUCGGAAUUGACAAUUCGGCUAAUAACGGUGGAGCCUUCACAAUAUUUAUGGUACAAUAUAGUUAAGUUACUUGAGGACCGUGAAUUUUGAAAGGGAAUACCGUGGGAAGUCGACCAAAAGAUUUAAUGAAAAUUUUUGGUUUGACCCCGUAACGACUGAGUCCGAUGUGACACCGGACGAGAUAUCGAUUUGAUAAGUUAAAGAAAUAUAUCGAUAUCACACGCCGACUCCCGACGCUACGUCGGGAUGAAGAUAUAGUCUAAGCCUUUUAGAAAUAAAAGAGUACUUGACGAGAGGACCGGAGCGGACGAACCUCUGGUGUACCAGUUGUUCUACCAAGAGCAUUGCUGGGUAGCUAUGUUCGGUCGGGAUAACCGCUGAAAGCAUAUAAGCGGGAAGCCCAUCCUAAGAUUAGACUUCAUUAAGGUUCCCAGUAGACCACUGGGUUGAUAGGCUCUAGGUGUAAGAUCCGUAAGGAUUUCAGCCGAGGAGUACUAAUAGACCAAAGAAAAUUAUCUG